rnacentral:rRNA from 1 species
GGAUGAACGCUAGCGGCAGGCUUAACACAUGCAAGUCGAGGGGCAGCACGAUUGCUUGCAAUUGGUGGCGACCGGCGCACGGGUGCGUAACGCGUAUGCAACUUACCCUUUACAGGGGGAUAGCCCGGGGAAACCCGGAUUAAUAUCCCAUAGUAUAAUAAUAUCGCAUGGUAUAAUUAUUAAAGAUUUAUCGGUAAAGGAUGGGCAUGCGUAAGAUUAGCUAGUUGGUAAGGUAAUGGCUUACCAAGGCUACGAUCUUUAGGGGGCCUGAGAGGGUGAACCCCCACACUGGUACUGAGACACGGACCAGACUCCUACGGGAGGCAGCAGUGAGGAAUAUUGCGCAAUGGAGGCAACUCUGACGCAGCCAUGCCGCGUGAAGGAAGACGGCCUUACGGGUUGUAAACUUCUUUUAUACGAGAAUAAACCCCCCUACGUGUAGGGGGCUGAAGGUAUCGUACGAAUAAGGACCGGCUAACUCCGUGCCAGCAGCCGCGGUAAUACGGAGGGUCCAAGCGUUAUCCGGAUUCAUUGGGUUUAAAGGGUGCGUAGGCGGCUUGAUAAGUCAGUAGUGAAAGACUGUGGCUCAACUCCGGAACUGCCAUUGAUACUGUAUAACUUGAAUCUAUUUGAAGUGGGCGGAAUACAUCAUGUAGCGGUGAAAUGCAUAGAUAUGAUGUAGAACACCGAUUGCGGAAGGCAGCUCACUAAACUAUUACUGACGCUCAUGGACGAAAGCGUGGGGAGCGAACAGGAUUAGAUACCCUGGUAGUCCACGCCGUAAAACGAUGAUUACUAUCUAUUAGCGAUACAAUGUUAGUGGCACAGCGAAAGCGUUAAGUAAUCCACCUGGGAAGUACGGUCGCAAGAUUGAAACUCAAAGGAAUUGACGGGGGCCCGCACAAGCGGUGGAGCAUGUGGUUUAAUUCGAUGAUACGCGAGGAACCUUACCAGGGCUUAAAUGCAGAAUGACAGGACUGGAAACAGUUUUUUCUUCGGACAAUUUGCAAGGUGCUGCAUGGUUGUCGUCAGCUCGUGCUGUGAAGUGUCGGGUUAAGUCCCAUAACGAGCGCAACCCCUAUCGUUAGUUGCUAACAGGUUAAGCUGAGGACUCUAGCGAGACUGCCAUCGUAAGAUGAGAGGAAGGUGGGGAUGACGUCAAAUCAGCACGGCCCUUACGUCCAGGGCUACACACGUGUUACAAUGGCCGGUACAGAGGGCAGCUACAUAGCGAUAUGAUGCGAAUCUCCAAAGCCGGUCUCAGUUCGGAUCGGAGUCUGCAACUCGACUCCGUGAAGUUGGAUUCGCUAGUAAUCGGAUAUCAGCCAUGAUCCGGUGAAUACGUUCCCGGGCCUUGUACACACCGC